GGUCUCGUGGCCGAGCGGUUAGGCACCGGUCUGCAAAACCGUGCACUCCGGUUCGAAUCCGGACGAGACCUC
rnacentral:tRNA from 1 species